rnacentral:rRNA from 1 species
AACAUGUCUGUGUGAAUUAGUUAUAAAGUCUAGCCUGCCCACUGAUAGUUUAAAGGGCCGCGGUAAUUUGACCGUGCGAAGGUAGCAUAGUCAGUAGUCUUUUAAUUGAAGGCUUGAAUGAAAGGUUGGACGAGAGGUAGUCUGUCUCCUUUGCAGACGUUUGAAUUUAACUUUUGAGUGAAAAGGCUCAAAUUGCUUAGUGGGACGAUAAGACCCUAUAAAACUUAAUAUAGGUUUAGUUUGAUUCGCGAUUGUGGGUGAAAAGUAGUGUUGCUAGUCCUAUAUUUUGUUGGGGCGAUGCGGAUAAAAUCGGUAACUGUUUGUAAAAUUUAAUAAUUAUGAUUAGUGUGUGAUCCUUCGUUUGUGGAUUAGGAGAAUAAGUUACUUUAGGGAUAACAGCGUGAUUUUCUUUGAGAGUUCUUAUCGACAAGAGUAGUUGCGACCUCGAUGUUGAAUUAAAGUUUUAGUUAGGUGUAGCCGCUUAGCUGGUGGGUCUGUUCGACCUUUAAAAUUUUACAU